UGCCAGCAGCCGCGGUAAUACCGGCAGCCCGAGUGAUGGCCGAUUUUAUUGGGCCUAAAGCGUCCGUAGCCGGCCAGACAGGUCCGUCGGGAAAUCCACGCGCUUAACGCGUGGAGGUCCGGCGGAAACCAGCUGGCUUGGGGCCGGAAGACCCAGGGGGUACGUCCGGGGUAGGAGUGAAAUCCUGUAAUCCCGGACGGACCGCCGGUGGCGAAAGCGCCCUGGGAGGACGGACCCGACGGUGAGGGACGAAAGCCAAGGUCACGAACCGGAUUAGAUACCCGAGUAGUCC
rnacentral:rRNA from 1 species